GUGAGGAAUAUUGGUCAAUGGACGGAAGUCUGAACCAGCCAUGCCGCGUGCAGGAAUAAGGUCCUAUGGAUUGUAAACUGCUUUUAUUCGGGAAUAAACCUCUUUACGUGUAGGGAGCUGAAGGUACCGAAGGAAUAAGCACCGGCUAACUCCGUGCCAGCAGCCGCGGUAAUACGGAGGGUGCAAGCGUUAUCCGGAAUCAUUGGGUUUAAAGGGUCCGCAGGCGGGCUAUCAAGUCAGAGGUGAAAUCCCACAGCUUAACUGUGGAACUGCCUUUGAAACUGAUGGUCUUGAAUUAAGUGGGCGUUGGCGGAAUAUGACAUGUAGCGGUGAAAUGCAUAGAUAUGUCAUGGAACACCGAAAGCGAAGGCAGCUAACGAUACGUAUAUUGACGCUCAUGGACGAAAGCGUGGGUAGCGAACAGGAUUAGAAACCCCUGUAGUCC
rnacentral:rRNA from 1 species